rnacentral:lncRNA from 1 species
CUUAUCUACAGGGAGUACUUGCUGCAUUUGAUCCUCUACAACUGGUGUUGCUCCCGUUAUGCGGACAGAAGACAGCCCCAGGGAACAAAUGCUAGGAAAUGGCAGGGUGAGAAAACUGAGGCAUAGAGAGGUUACAAUAUAACUUAGAUCUCCCAGCUGGCAAGUAAUGGUUUAAGCCAGGAGCCUACACACUUCCUCCUACUUCCUCUAUGGGUGCUGGUGAUCUGCCGACUCCUAGACAUCCAGCUUUAAGGUCCUCAGUGAAGCUUCUCUGCCCCCAGGCCUGUCCAUGUCAGAGCACCAUGGGUGUCCCUUUGAAAGUGUCUCCUACAGGUCUGUGAUUAUG